AAGGAGGGAGUUCGCCUCUGAACAGAGUAAAUCCUAGUCAGUCGAGUAAGAUUUUAGUUGGAACUUGCGGGCUCACGGCCUGCUAGUGGGAAAAGCAUCGUUCUAGAGCGCUUCUGCGCCGCCCACAACUGUGGGCUAGGACUACAAGUCCCGAUCCGCGGGAGUCCAGGAGCGGGGGCGGGAGAGGGCGGCGGUGGGAUAGAGAGGCAUGCUGGGAACUGUAGUUGUGUCACCUCCACGUUCACAGCAGGUCUACAUAGAAGAACGGUGGCAAAUUUUGCAUUAAUAAUGAAAUCUAGAAAGCCUCUAAAAAUCUAAAUUAAGAUAAUGUCCUAAGUGUUCUUCUUCCAACUUUUUCAGCAAACCAGUUACCAAUGCUCUUCUUCCUGCCCUGCCUGCCCUCUGGUGGAGGUGUUAAAGAGCAGGCCUGGAGAUCAAGCAAGCCAUAAGGGAACUAGAAGUUGUGAAAAAGACCAGGCCAAGCAGAUGCAUCCUCUCUAGACUUUGAUUCAAGAACUGGUGACUCAAAGCAGCAGGGAUGACGCAGAAUCCGUUCUGGCCAGGGCAUAGCAGCAAUGGCAGCUGCAUCCGGUUUCCAGUGGUGGGAGAGACAGCUGUUCUGUGGCAGUGUGCAGUGUCCAGCAUCCAAGGACUUGGCAUUGCAAAUUACGAGGUGUGUAUGUCUAAGAGGAGAGAGUUUGGAGAACAGAUCAUCAGCCACAAAGCACUCAACCCUGAUUUCCCAUUAUGAAAAUGAACAACAAAUGUUUGUUAAAUGCCUGCUAUGUGUGGGAAUAGUCGUUUUCCUAGACUAGCGACAUCAGCAUCACCUGAGAACUUGUUAGAAAUUCAAAUAGGAAGCUUUGGGAUUGGAGCCCAGCGAUCCGUGUUUUAACAAGCCCUCCAGGAGAUUCCCAUACAUAUUAAACGUGUCAUUUAGAACUGGAAUUUCACUGGGUAAUGGUGAGGUGGGGACUGGGCUGGGCAUCCUGUGGGCAGCAUGGAGUAGUGGCUGAGCACAGAGCUCAUUCCUCUGACUCCUUAGGAGGUGCACCUCUCGCCACCUCAGGACUUGCAUUUGGGGAGGAGAAUCAUUCUUCUCUGGGAGUCAGAUCUCAUUCCAGAUAAAAUGCUCAAAUGGGAGAUAUUCCAAUUUGUGGUUAAUACUGUGUGCCGGGAAAACAAAGCUGUUCUCUAUUGCUGUCAUGACAUUUGCUUAUGGAGCAGGAGGAGGGACCUAAGAAGGAGGGAAAGGGGACAAGAGAGCCUGAAAAAGAUUUGAUCCCUACCAUUACCAUGUCUCCUUUCCACUACCCUGUCCCACAACUCUUUCCCCAUUUGCCUCUUGACCUCCCUGGGUCCGGCAUGCUCUCCAGUGAAUUUUGGGAGAGCUGAAACAGUGAAGGGGAGCUAUGUACUAGAGAUGGUGUAGAGAGGGAGGAUGCCCCAGGCCAGUCCCUGCCUCACCCUUUAACCAACAAGAUUCUGAUUCCAAGGGCAAGUUGCACCUUCACUAACCAGAGCUAUAACAGUAUUCAACCCCACUUCCUUCUGCUUUUUUUUUGGGGGGGGGUUGCGGAAAGCAAUUCCUGGAAAUAGAACUUGUCUUUCACUUCAACAGGAUGUAACUCUGAUGUACAUUCCAAUGUCAGCUGUUGGUGACCCAACCCUCAAUAGGAAGGCCAGCCCAUCCCUACACUAGUCCUUGGCUGAGAGUGCCUGACUGCUUCCCAACUUCCUGAGGGGCACAGAGCUUGUCACUCCUCCGCACACAGUCUCAGUAGUCAGAUUU